AGCAAUUAGGCAACUUGUUCAUUUAUUUACAAACUUUCUCCAAAUAAAUUUCAAGUGGUGUAUCGAGUGAAGACAAUUUUUCGUCUUGUUGGCACACUGACCAGGGAUGUCACAUGGUGAGGUGACUGGAGGAGAGUAAUCAGCAUGGUCCAGAGGGAAAAGAACUGCCUUGGAUUCAAGAGUCCUGGAUGCCUGAAGGCCUGGCUGUGAUCCUGAUUGAUUGAGUGAUCUCCGAGCAGUCAUUAAAUCUACCGUUGGCUUUGUAUGUUUGUAAAAUGGCGUUGCAGUAGGGCCUCAACCAGAAUAGGGGCCGAAUAAACAAUCUUGAAUGCAGUUUCCUUCUCUCUCUAAAAUUCCCUAAUUCUAUGAUUAUCAUUAUUACAGAGAUACAGAAUCUCAGGGAUUGAAUGAGUUUUGGGGUCCACUGACAAUGGUGACUGACAUUUCUUCCACUUGCAAAGUCAAGAGGAAAGAAACAAGGAAAAACAAUCAGAUGUAAGGAAUCUCACGCCAAAAAGCUUGGAGAGGGAGAGAAGAAAGAGGAUUAUCAGCAGCAAUAUUAAGGUAGAGGCCACGUGAGAUAAAAUAUAGCACAUUACGUACCUCACACAGGUGUAUGCAAGAGACCUGUGCAAUAUGUAUUAGG
rnacentral:lncRNA from 1 species